GAUGAACGCUGGCGGCGUGCUUAACACAUGCAAGUCGAACGGAAAGGCCAGUGCUUGCACUGGUACUCGAGUGGCGAACGGGUGAGUAACACGUGGGUGAUCUGCCCUGCACUUCGGGAUAAGCCUGGGAAACUGGGUCUAAUACCGGAUAGGACAAUGGUUUGGAUGCCGUUGUGGAAAGUUUUUUCGGUGUGGGAUGAGCUCGCGGCCUAUCAGCUUGUUGGUGGGGUAAUGGCCUACCAAGGCGUCGACGGGUAGCCGGCCUGAGAGGGUGUACGGCCACAUUGGGACUGAGAUACGGCCCAGACUCCUACGGGAGGCAGCAGUGGGGAAUAUUGCACAAUGGGCGCAAGCCUGAUGCGGCGACGCCGCGUGGGGGAUGACGGCCUUCGGGUUGUAAACUCCUUUCGCUAGGGACGAAGCGUAUUUGUGACGGUACCUGGAGAAGAAGCACCGGCUAACUACGUG
rnacentral:rRNA from 1 species